rnacentral:piRNA from 1 species
UAAAUGAUUAAAAUAUCUCAGAGUGUACC